rnacentral:rRNA from 1 species
UACGAAGGGGGCUAGCGCUGCUCGGAAUCACUGGGCGUAAAGGGUGCGUAGGCGGGUCUUUAAGUCAGGGGGGAAAUCCUGGAGCUCAACUCCAGAACUGCCUUUGAUACUGAAGAUCUUGAGUUCGGGAGAGGUGAGUGGAACUGCGAGUGUAGAGGUGAAAUUCGUAGAUAUUCGCAAGAACACCAGUGGCGAAGGCGGCUCACUGGCCCGAUACUGACGCUGAGGCACGAAAGCGUGGGGAGCAGACAGG